ACACACACACACACACACGCACUAUAUCUGUAUCUAUAUAUAGUGUUAAAAGCCAGGGAGACUUUGUAUGUUUGUGUGUGUGUGUGUGUGUGUGUGUGUGUGU